UCCUUUUCUGGUUAGGCCUCCCAGGCCUCGCAUCAUCUGGUCCUAGGUUGCCUCUUCAUUCUCUUUCUCACUACUUUCAUCCUCACACUCGCAGCUCUGGUCAUGUCCCCUGCAUUGGGGCAGACACCUCCUGGACUGUACCCCGGAAUGAAUGUCUCAAGCCUAGGCCUGCCCUCUGGAAAGAACAGCCAGCUCUCCCACAGUGGCCUUACUGACCCUGGGCCGUCUGUUGGGAGACCACCUAGCCUCCUGCAGGUGCGGAGCGGGUGCACAACUGGCCAGGCCAGGCAGUGGGAGACUCAGGCUCUGAAGGCCUCCUUUUCCUUUGAGGCCAAAGAUGGGCUGUGGUCAGCACAUGUUGGAUAUGCCUCAUAGAGGCUUAGUGAACUGGCGAUAAUAAUAGUACUACAAAAUGAAAAAGUAGUAAUACCUUAUAUUGUUGCUUUCAAGUUUGAAAAGCCUUUUCAUUAAUAUUAUCGAAGUGUAAUUCUCGCAACCUUGUAAGGUUAAUGGUAUCCAUCCAUCUUAUUAUUCCCAUUUUACAGAUGAGGAAACUGAGUCACAGAAAAGUUAUGCAACUUUCUCAGGUCACUGAACCUCUUUUUUUUUAAACCAUUCUGAUUUGUAAGUGCCUCUAUGUUAAAUUGGGGUAGAGGGUAAAAGAACAACCACUGCAAAAUGGUACAUGGGCAGUGUCUGGUCCAAAAGUGAGGGUCUGCAGGUUCUUUUGAAAGCAUCUCAGACAAGAGAAGGUCACUCCUGAGCCCUGAGGGCUGCCACCAACCUGGUUUAUAAAUUGAUUGUAUGCUAAAUGAGAACUGAGAUAUUGAGGCUGGGAUGGAGGCCAAGGACCACAUGAGAGACAAAGCUGGGCAUUGAUCACCGCAAGUCCUCAGCAACACGGGUUAUUACCAUGGCUCCUUCAUCAAACCGUAGUGAUACCUCCACAGGUCCUUAAUACUGUGAUGACUAGUGUCCCCAUCUCCUGUGUCUCCAGGCAGAGAGGAGGCUUCAAUUCAACCAUUUUGAACAAAGUGAUACUACCAGCCGAGGGGCAACUAGCAUUUUGCACACUGGGCAAAGGAUGCCCAAUACCCUGCCAUUCCUGAGACUGUCCUACAGAAUGAAGAAUUGUCCUGUGCCCUACACAACUGUCAAAUGACUAGUUGGACAAUUCUGGAGGUGAAAAACCUGACUUUAUCAUCUUAUACCAGGACUCAAUACAGGUUUGCAUGGUUUUAGAAAACAUUGAAUGCAUGCAACCAGUAUGUACAUUAAGAUUGUACUUAACAGUGUUCACAAUAUAGGAAAGCAUUGUAUCUGACAGCAAUGCUGCAUGUAGUUUUGGAAGCCCAGUUUGACCCACCUCAUCACUCUGCAUUGCUGAUGUUACUGGCACCAGGAGUCUGUUCAGCGGUGUGGUGCUGUGCUUCAUCAGGGCUUCCAAAGUAGUCAUGCCCAUACAUUUACGUAUGGCAAUACACAUUAAUUUAUCAUAAAUUACCCUUUUUACAGUUAAGAUGUUUGACCUUUUAAAAUUAUGAGUAUAAAUAUAUUACCUUUACUUUUAUUUCAGGAUAAUAAGGGAGUAUUAUGAUAUAUUUGUAACAGAAUAGAGGCAUUGAGUUUGAGAAUCACUGCUCUGAGCAAAUGGCAGUUUCCUUUUUUUCCUAGAAAACACAGGAUUUCAGGGUUAGAGGAGAUCUUGAGUGUCACUCAGUCCUUUCCCCACUCCAUCUAGUACUCAGAUCCCUGCAGUUGGAGGACCAAGGACCUUCACACACCUCUUACUCCUGUGAUGUGACUCUUUGGAGUUCCCAGGAUGGAAUCAAGUGGGAAAUCAGCCCGAAUGACCAAGGGCCCAGGUGCAGUGAGCUUCACCAGAUGUUGGCAUGUGGUAUUAUAGAUAUUGGGAUCCAAGAGCCAUUCAAGAUCUCAUCCACUUAAAGAGGUUGGCAUCAGCUCAGUGGAAAACCUAGACCUGCAUUGCAAGAGAAAAUACCCUUAGAGGCUCAGUCAAUAUCAGGGACCCCAGAAAUGCCAAGCUGGUGGACAAACACACUGUAUCUCAGAACAUACCCUGGUGCUGGAGUUCUGAAUGACUCCAUGGCAUCUGGUCCUCAAGAAGCACUGGGCUAGGUGGAAUGAAGUAAAUUGAUGGGCUGGGAUCAUUAGGAAACUAGAGGCAACUAAGUGAAGGUGUCUCCUCUUGGCACUUUGUUCCAGGAUCAAGCUUCAAUGACUUCAUAUUCUUGGAUGAAGGGGCUGUGUCAUGUCAGAAGGGCUGGCUUAGUGAGCUUCAGCCAGGGUGAACCCCAGUGACUUUGCUGACUCAGUGGCCCAAAGCUGCCUUGACUGGAGGUGGACCUGAGAGGCAGAAUGCUGGAUUAAACCACCUGCAACCAUGCUCAAAUCUUUCCCCCAUCUUUCUUCUCCACUGCUCUCACUACCCCAUGAAUUUGCCACUCAGUUGUUCCUUCCCAUGCCCUAUGCCCCUUCCACUGGAGGCUGGAUGGCUAUACUCCACCUACUUCCCUCCAGUCCCCCUGGACUGACACAGAGCCCUCUGUCUUCCUGUGGAAUGCAGUAGCAGUUCUGAGCAUGGUGCUGGACAAGAAGUCCAGCUCCCCUCAUAAACUUUUUAUAGCUUAGGAAAAUAAACAUGUGGUUUAAGGUCUUUGCAUAGGCAGUGCUCACUGAGUUUGAGCUUGCUUUACAGAACUACGAAAGAAAAUAUUGGUAGAGCUAAGAAAUUUCUGAGCCAGCCAAGGGACAGUAGUCCAGAAAUCUUGGGGAGGGUUUGAUGGUUCAGGCAAUAAAAAGAGAAGUCAUCUGUGUAGCUGUUAUCUCGCUCCGUCCCACUAAGAAUCUGCCUGCCUGAGUGAUGCAGCCAGGCUCCCUUGUUCCCUGGGGCAAGGAACCAGUAGAGGGAUAGGGAAUCACAGUGUUUCCCAGCUGCAAGGGCCCUUGGAGAUGGUUUUACAGAUAAGGAAGCAGGGUCCAGAGAAAGGAAGUGAUCUGCUGGGAACCACUGUACUUUUCACACAAGCAACUUUCCAGGCAUCUGCUAUGUGCUAUCCACAGGAUAGCAAGGGGUCCUGUCUCCAGUAAUGGGAUCUGCGGAGGAGUGCAGCUCCCCAGCCUGCUAUUUGCAGGAGCCCGAGUGGGGAAGCCUGUGUAGUCUCAGGUCCUCAGCCUUGAUUUUUAUGGUGUGGCUGUGGUGUCUCAGGACUCUGCGACCCAGGACCACCAUUGUGACCACCUUCCUAGUCUUCACUGCUUCCUUUACACCUCAAGUCUGAGGACCUGCUCCGAGCCACACAUGGUUCUGGGCUCUAGGAGUGGCAGAGGACUUGGGUGCCAUGAGAGUACCAGGUAGUAGCUCCAGCUCAGCCUCCCCUAACCCUGACUCAAACAAAACCAUCAGAUGCAUCCCCUACCACUAUCCAUCUGUCUGAGAAUUCUCAGAACCUUUCCACUGGUGGGAAUGCAAAGUGAUGCAGCCCUGUGGAAAGAACUUUGGCCAUUCCUCAAAAGUAUAUUAUAUAGAAUUACUAUAUGACCCAGCAACUCCCCUCCUAGGCAUAUGCCCAAAAGAAUUGAAAGCAAGGACUCAAACAAAUACUUGGGCAUACAAGCUUAUAGGAGCAUUAUUCACACUAGCCAGAGGUGGAAACAGUUGUCCAUCAGCAGAUGAAUGGCUACACAAGUGUAGUAUAUACAUCCAAUGAAAUACUAUUCAGCCAUAAAAAGGAAUGGAAUUCUGAUACAUUCUACAACAUGGAUGGACUUCAGAAACAUGCUAAGUUUCUAAGCCAAGCUAACAUGCUAAGAAGGCAGACACUGAAGGUCACAUAUUUAUGAUUCUGCUUAUAUGAAACAUCUGGAAGGAGACAGAAAGCAGAUCAGUGACUGCCAAGGCCUGGGAGGAGGAGAACUGGGGACUGAUUGCUUCAUGGGUAUGAGUUUUUCCUUGGAAGUGAUGAAAAUGUUCUGCAACUAAAUAGAGGUAGUAGAUGCACAACACUGUGAAUGUACUAACAGCUACUGAAUUGUGUACUUUAAAAUGGUUAAUUUUAUGUUAUGUGAAUUUCACCUCUAAGAAUUUUUUUUGUUUUUUGAGACCAAAUCUCACUCUGUCACCCAGGCUGUAGGACAGUGGGGCAACCUUGGCUAACUGCAACCUCCGCCUCCCAGGUUCAAGCAAUUCUCCUGCCUCAGCCUCCCAAGUAGCUGGGACUACAGGUGCCCAACACCACACCUGGCUAAUUUUUGUAUUUUUAGUAGAGAUGGGGUUUUGCCAUAUUGUCCAGGCUGGUCUUGAACUCCUGACCUCAAGUGAUCUGCUCACCUCAGCCUCCCAAAAUGCUAGGAUUACAGGUAUGAGCCACCGUGCCUGGCCUAAGAAAAA